rnacentral:rRNA from 1 species
GGUCCAUUCAAAUUUCUUCCCUAUCAACUUUCGAUGUUUGGGUAUUGGCCAAACAUGGUUGCAACGGGUAACGGAGGGUUAGGGCUCGACCCCGGAGAAGGAGCCUGAGAAACGGCUACUACAUCCAAGGAAGGCAGCAGGCGCGCAAAUUACCCAAUCCCGACCGGGGAGGUAGUGACAAUAAAUACUGAUACAGGGCUCUUUUGGGUCUUGUAAUUGGAAUGAGUACAAUUUAAAUCCCUUAACGAGGAACAAUUGGAGGGCAAGUCUGGUGCCAGCAGCCGCGGUAAUUCCAGCUCCAAUAGCGUAUAUUAAAGUUGUUGUGGUUAAAAAGCUCGUAGUUG